ACCGAGAAGAGUUUCUUCAUGCCUAUGCAGGGCCAAGCUGGGCCAGGGUGGAGUAACUUGAGGACUCUAUGGGGAGAUGGGCUUAUUAUGGAAGGAUCCCCAAGCACAGCUGAAGAGCUCUGGGAGGAUGGAAGAGCAGAAUAGCCAGAAGCAGCUGCAGAGUUGGCAUGCUGGGAGACGACUAGAUCUGGGAAAGGAUGGGCUGGCAGGGGCACGCCUUUGAAUCCCUCUGCUGGAACCUUUACAGGUUGGCUCUUUGCAGCAUUCCAGUGGUGCCUGGGAAACGCCUGGCACUGCCUGACCACAGCUGCCUCCCUCCAGGAUUUCUUUCUGUUAAUCAGGAGCUUUUUCACUCGGAAGAAGUUGCUCCUCUUUGUCUUGGGGAUGCUGUUCUUUGUGGCUUCGCUGGCUUAUGGUGAGCCUUGUGGAGUGCC
rnacentral:lncRNA from 1 species